rnacentral:rRNA from 1 species
CCUACGGGGGGCAGCAGUGGGGAAUAUUGGACAAUGGGCGAAAGCCUGAUCCAGCAAUGCCGCGUGAGUGAUGAAGGCCUUAGGGUCGUAAAGCUCUUUUACCAGGGAAGAUAAUGACAGUACCUGGAGAAUAAGCUCCGGCUAACUCCGUGCCAGCAGCCGCGGUAAUACGGAGGGAGCUAGCGUUGUUCGGAAUUACUGGGCGUAAAGCGUACGUAGGCGGUUAUUCAAGUCAGAGGUGAAAGCCCGGGGCUCAACCCCGGAACGGCCUUUGAAACUAGAUAGCUAGAGUCUUGGAGAGGUCAGUGGAAUUCCGAGUGUAGAGGUGAAAUUCGUAGAUAUUCGGAAGAACACCAGUGGCGAAGGCGACUGACUGGACAAGUACUGACGCUGAGGUACGAAAGCGUGGGGAGCAAACAGGAUUAGAUACCCUGGUAGUC